GGUUCGAUCCUGGGUUCAGAUUGAACGCUGGCGGGAUGCUUUACACAUGCAAGUCGAACGGCAGCACGGACUUCGGUCUGGUGGCGAGUGGCGAACGGGUGAGUAAUGUAUCGGAACGUGCCUAGUAGCGGGGGAUAACUACGCGAAAGCGUAGCUAAUACCGCAUACGCUCCUUCGGGGGAAAGCGGGGGGACCUUCGGGGCCUCGCACUAUUAGAGCGGCCGAUAUCGGAUUAGCUAGUUGGUAAGUAACGGCUCACCAAGGCGACGAUCCGUAGCUGGUUUGAGAGGACGACCAGCCACACUGGGACCGAGACACGGCCCAGACUCCUACGGGAGGCAGCAGUGGGGAAUUUUGGACAAUGGGGAAACCCCGAUCCAGCCAUCCUGGGCGUGUGCGAUGAAGGCCUUCGGCUAAAAAAGCACUUUUGGCAGGAAAGAAACGGCACGUGGAUAUACCCGCAAUCGACGGUACCUGCAGAAUAAGCACCGGCUAACUACGUGCCAGCAGCCGCGGUAAUACGUAGGGUGCAAGCGUUAACGGAAAUUACCGGGCGUAAGCGUGUGCAGGCGGUUCGGAAAGAAAGAUGUGAAAUCCCAGAGCUUAACUUCUUGAACUGUAUUUUUAACUACCGAGCUAGAGUGUGUCAGAGGGAGGUGGAAUUCCGCGUGUGGCAGAAAUGCGUAGAUAUGCGGAGGAACACCGAUGGCGAAGGCAGCCUCCGGGGGAUAACACUGACGCUCAUGCACGAAAGCGUGGGGAGCAAACAGGAUUAGAUACCCUGUAGUCCACGCCCUAAACGAUGUCAACUAGCUGUUGGGGCCUUCGGGCCUUGCAGCGCAGCUAACGUGUGCUGACCGCCUGGGAGCAUGGUCAGACAAACUCAAAGGAAUUGACGGGGACCCGCACAAGCGGUGGAUGAUGUGGAUUAAUUCGCAUACAACGCGAAAAACCUUACCUACCCUUGACAUGUCUGGAAUCCCGAAGAGAUUUGGGAGUGCUCGCAAGAGAACCGGAACACAGGUGCCGCAUGGCUGUCGUCAGCCCGUGUCGUGAGAUGUUGUUAAGUCCCGCAACGAGCGCAACCCUUGUCAUUAGUUGUUGCUGAAAGGGCACUCUAAUGAGAUUGCCGGUGACAAACCGGAGGAAGGUGGGGAUGACGCUAAGUCCUCAUGGUCUUCGGCGGUAGGGCUUCACACGUCAUACAAUGGUCGGGACAGAGGGUCGCCAACCCGCGAGGGGGAGCCAAUCCCCGGAAACCCGAUCGAGUCCGGAUCGCAGCCUGCAACCGACGCAGUCGAACUGCGUUGCAUCGCGGAUCAGCAUGUCGCGGUGAAUACGUUCCUGGGUCUUGUACACACCGCCCGUCACACCAUGGG
rnacentral:rRNA from 1 species